CCGACGGUGAGGGANGAAAGCUGGGGGAGCAAACCGGAUUAGAUACCCGGGUAGUCCCAGCUGUAAACGAUGCAAACUCGAUGAUGCGUUGGCUUAUUGCUAGCGCAGUGUCGCAGGGAAGCCGUUAAGUUUGCCGCCUGGGAAGUACGUACGCAAGUAUGAAACUUAAAGGAAUUGGCGGGGGAGCACCACAAGGGGUGAAGCCUGCGGUUCAAUUGGAGUCAACGCCUGAAACCUUACCCGGAGAGACAGCAGAAUGAAGGUCAAGCUGAAGACUUUACCAGACAAGCUGAGAGGUGGUGCAUGGCCGUCGCCAGCUCGUGCCGUGAGAUGUCCUGUUAAGUCAGGUAACGAGCGAGAUCCCUGCCUCUAGUUGCCACCAUUACUCUCAGGAGUAGUGGGGCGAAUUAGCGGGACCGCCGCAGUUAAUGCGGAGGAAGGAAGGGGCCACGGCAGGUCAGUAUGCCCCGAAACUCUGGGGCCACACGCGGGCUGCAAUGGUAACGACAAUUGGUUUCGAAUCCGAAAGGAUGAGGUAAUCCUCAAACGUUACCACAGUUAUGACUGAGGGCUGCAACUCGCCCUCACGAAUAUGGAAUCCCUAGUAACUGCGUGUCAUUAUCGCGCGGUGAAUACGUCCCUGCUCCUUGCACACACCGCCCGU
rnacentral:rRNA from 1 species